CACGUAGGGGGCAAGCGUUGUCCGGAUUUAUUGGGCGUAAAGAGCUCGUAGGCGGCUCAGUAAGUCGGGUGUGAAACCUCCAGGCUCAACCUGGAGACGCCACCUGAUACUGCUGUGGCUAGAGUCCGGUAGGGGAGCGUGGAAUUCCUGGUGUAGCGGUGAAAUGCGCAGAUAUCAGGAGGAACACCAGCGGCGAAGGCGGCGCUCUGGGCCGGAACUGACGCUGAGGAGCGAAAGCGUGGGUAGCAAACGGG
rnacentral:rRNA from 1 species